UGCAUUUUUCUUUUUCUUUUAGGUCUCGAAAACUGAAAUGCAUGUUUUCGAUCCAGUGCUGAGCCAUUUCUAAACAAUUCGUGUCAAUGACUACUUCUCACGAAAUAAUACCAAGGCACCACUUGUAUGAUUCUAAGUACCAUCCAGAGGUGAAAGCACCCCAGGUCCGUGCUCCUGGGCAGUCCAGAAUUCUCCAUGACCGCCUCUGCCACUACAAUUGGAAAGCUAGAGAGGGCGUCUUGUGAGGCUAGAUCGAUGAUAAUGAAUGGUACGAGGAUCCUGAAAAUGAUUUUCUACAGUCCCUUUCACGGUGCAAACUGUCUCUGGAAUAUCCAACUCAAUGGAAAAGGACUUUUCUAAAUGAAAACUUGAGGGCAUUGUCACACCCUCAGGGUCGGA
rnacentral:lncRNA from 1 species